GUGGGGGAGCGAAAGGUUAAAUCCUGACCCUGGAGGGCCGCGGGAAAGUUCAGAGCCCGAGGGUCAAUCUCAGGCCCGAGUUCCCAUCCCCCACUGCUGGGGGUAGAACCGCCAGGUCACCUCCCCCUAGCUAGGGUCCUGGGCCCUUGGAGGCGAAGCUGAGUGAGGGAGAGGGGCGACCCCUGGCCGCGGUGGGAUGGGGCGAUGCAGCAAUGCUAGGGUAGCCGGUGGUGUCCCGGCCUGGCGGUGUGGUCGGGGGUGCCCUGAGUCCAGUCUUUCUGAUUGGUGCGGAAAGUUGAGGGGUUUUUAAUUUACACCGGGGCUGUCAUUUGCUCAGUGCCUCAGAAGGGAGGAGAGGCCGUCUGGUACUGCAGGCAAAGGCCCGGGUGGUCCACCAGGGCAAUUACAAUUUCCUAGAAAAGACCGGGUAAUUUUGUGUUUUUUAUUAGGUCUUUUAAGAUCUGUUUUUCUUCCUUCUCUCCCUCCCGUCUUCCUUUCUCUCUCUCCCUUUUACUCCCUCCCUUCUCUCUCAUUGGUUCCCUCCCUCCAUUCUUUUCUUCCUUCUCUAUCACUCCUUUCUUUUCUUCUCCCUCCCCCCCUUUUUUCUUUUUCUCCACCCCUGUCUUAUUCUUUCCUUCUCCCUAGCUUUCUUCUCUCAUCCCCUCCCUCCUUCUCUACAGGGGAGCCUGGUGCAGGUCUCUGCACCUCCAGACUUUUAUAUGAAGGGUGCCAGUCCAUUUGGCAUGACAAACUAAUCCUGUUUCCGAAAAAAAAAGGAGAAAGAAAGGAGAGUGCCAGGAAAAAUCCCUUGUCAGCUAUCUGGAUUCAAAGUCCACAACGUGUUUCAGAUAAGCACCAGCCUGCAUAGACGCAGCCCCGUUGCCACACAGUCUAAAAGAAAACAGCCCUUCUUCAGAAAGGAAACACAACAGCCACUACAAAAAAUCACUGGAUUCUGGAAAAAAAUCAAUAUCAAAAUUAGAUUUAUUGUCUGCUUAUGUGAUUAAAAAUGACAAAGUGUUGCCUCUUAUUUUCAUAAAAAGAGAGAAGGCUGAACAAAAUAA